ACGUAGGGUCCAAGCGUUGUCCGGAUUUACUGGGCGUAAAGAGCGCGUAGGCGGUCUGUUAAGUGUGAAGUGAAAUCUCCGAGCUUAACUCGGAAACUGCCGUGGAUACUAUCAAUCUUGAAUAUCGUGGAGGUAAGCGGAAUAUGUCAUGUAGCGGUGAAAUGCUUAGAUAUGACAUAGAACACCAAUUGCGCAGGCAGCUUACUACACGAUCAUUGACGCUGAGGCACGAAAGCGUGGGGAGCAAACAGGA
rnacentral:rRNA from 1 species